CUAUACAUGACUCUGCGCAUAUCAAUAAGCGGAGGAAAAGAAACUAACAAGGAUUCCCUUAGUAACGGCGAGUGAAGCGGGAAGAGCUCAAAUUUGAAAUCUUCAAGGUUUUACCUUGACGAAUUGUAGUUUAAAGAAGUGUUUUCUGCUGAAGUUUUGGUAAAAGUUCUUUGGAAUAGGACAUCAUAGAGGGUGAGAAUCCCGUAUUUGACCAUUAUUUUCAGCUUUGUGAUACACUUUCAAAGAGUCGGAUUGUUUGGGAAUGCAGUCCAAAAUGGGUGGUAAAUUUCAUCUAAAGCUAAAUAUUGGCGAGAGACCGAUAGCGAACAAGUACCGUGAGGGAAAGAUGAAAAGAACUUUGAAAAGAGAGUUAAACAGUACGUGAAAUUGUCAAAAGGGAAGCGUUUGACACUAGUGUUGUUUUCUCGAAAAUCAAUUAAAAAUGGCUCGAUUUUGUAUUGCUUGAGACCUUAAAAGCUCACUGUACAUUUUUCGUGUCUUUUUUAAUGCACUUUUCGUUUAACGAAGUCAACAUCAGUUUCUUUUGUUGUAAAAGGGUCAUUGGAAGGUGGCUUUCUUUUCGGAGAAAGUGUUUAUAGCCUUUGGCCUCUGCAAUCGGAGAGACUGAGGUCUGCAGCGUAGACUCUUCGGGGUUAGAUACAUUUGUGCUAAGUUAUAGCUUUUUAUAGACAGACUUGUUGACUAUAAUUAGUCUUGUAGCUUACUCGCUUAUGCUAUUUUACCUACGCUUAGGAUGUUGAAGAUGUAGCACAUCAU
rnacentral:rRNA from 1 species